rnacentral:rRNA from 1 species
CACUCCUACGGGAGGCAGCAGUGGGGAAUUUUGGACAAUGGGCGAAAGCCUGAUCCAGCAAUGCCGCGUGAGUGAAGAAGGCCUUCGGGUUGUAAAGCUCUUUUGUCAGGGAAGAAACGGUGAGAGCUAAUAUCUCUUGCUAAUGACGGUACCUGAAGAAUAAGCACCGGCUAACUACGUGCCAGCAGCCGCGGUAAUACGUAGGGUGCAAGCGUUAAUCGGAAUUACUGGGCGUAAAGCGUGCGCAGGCGGUUUUGUAAGUCUGAUGUGAAAUCCCCGGGCUCAACCUGGGAAUUGCAUUGGAGACUGCAAGGCUAGAAUCUGGCAGAGGGGGGUAGAAUUCCACGUGUAGCAGUGAAAUGCGUAGAUAUGUGGAGGAACACCGAUGGUGAAGGCAGCCCCCUGGGUCAAGAUUGACGCUCAUGCACGAAAGCGUGGGGAGCAAACAGGAUUAGAAACCCCAGUAGUCCCAU